ACUUAAGUUCAGAGAGGUUCAAUUCUCUACCCAAAUAGGUGCAGUUAAUUAGCUGCAGGUGCUGGAAUAUAAAUACCGUUUUAGUCCAUAUGCUAUUAUUUGUUGAAUUCCAAACUCCAAACCUCAGAUGUGCUGGAAGUGUUCAUCUAAAGCUUUGCUGGGAUCAUACCUUCCCUUUUUAAUAUUCCAAAGCUCUGUGCUUUCCGAUGAUUACAGUGAAGUUGUUAUUAAAAAGAUCCAGGUGUUUAAUCAGGACCUCAUUCCUCUUAACUCAGGUGUGUGGUUCAGGUAUAGGUUAUUAAUGUGUUUCAUAAACAAUAAUGAGAGAAAAUAUUUGACUUAGAGGUGAUUUAGAAACUGCUGUCCCAUAUAGAUCUACUUUAAGCUUGGUAUACUUUGUAAAGUUUGAGGGGUACAUCAUAUAAUUUGAAACAUUACAGGGGCAGCUUUCCUCCUGAGAUAAAAAUUUGACUGUUAGGAAAUUGCCUAAGGUGAUGAGGAAGCACUGUUGUGAUUAAGCAAUUUGACUUUUGAGAAAUUAAGUCCAGGUUUGGACAGGCCAAAGAACAACUUAGGAAUCUUGUGUAAGUUCUCUUUUUUCACAGCAAUGGGUGAAAAUAUACACAGGAGCAUAACUACUUAUCCUGUGGUGGCUGACUGGACUGCAGUGAGGUAUCCAUACCCAGCCUCGGACCCUUAACCCCACUCUUCCCUCUGCCCCAACUUCUUAUAUGAACAUACAGAGAAAAGUGGCAAGCCAUUUCAUAACAGGGUCAUAGGCAGCUAGCCAAACAGGUGGACCUGUGGAUUACCACGACAGCGGUUGCCACAGAGGCACAGAGAUCUGGGAGCAUGGAGAUAAAGGGGCAAGGGCAUAAAGCAUGGAAACUUAGGAAAUACCAUCUUCCCAAGUUUAUUUCUGCAACACUCCACCUCUUCUAGUUUCCUGGUCUCACAAUUCUUUUUUUAUUUUAUUUUUAUUUUUUUAUUUUUAUUUAUUUAUUUAUUUAUUUAUUUUUGACAGGCAGAGUGGACAGUGAGAGAGACAGAGAAAAAGGUCUUCCUUUGCCGUUGGUUCACCCUCCAAUGGCCGCCGCGGCUGGCGCGCUGCGGCCGGCGCACCGCGCUGAUCCGAUGGCAGGAACCAGGAGCCAGGUGCUUUUCCUGGUCUCCCAUGGGGUGCAGGGCCCAAGCACCUGGGCCAUCCUCCACUGCACUCCCUGGCCACAGCAGAGAGCUGGCCUGGAAGAGGGGCAACUGGGACAGAAUCCGGCGCCCCGACCGGGACUAGAACCUGGUGUGCCGGCGCCGCUAGGUGGAGGAUUAGCCUAGUGAGCCGCGGCGCCAGCCUCACAAUUCUUUAUGUACAUUGUCUUCAGUCAAGGGCCCUAUGUAAGGAGCACACAUGGAAUGUGGAACCAAUGACCACAACAGCAAUGCAAGCUAUAGCAACAAAUGACAAGUGAACAUGCAAUACAGUAACAAUCAGGAUUGUACCAUCAGCUUGUAAGGGACAUCCACACAUCUCAUAGGGAACCUCCAGUCAGUUGUUCAAUGUGCAGUGUUUUUCACAUUAAAGCAGCAAGGCCUUGGGUAAAAUUUAAUGAAUGUCAUGAAAAAUACACAACAUUCAGUCUUUAGCAUGGCACACAUACCAACUUCAGCUGCUGUAAAGAGUAUCUAAUGCCAUGCAGUCUUGCAAAACGAUCUUUUUCCUUGUUUUUUAAUUUGUUUGUUUGUUUAUUUGGAGCGAGGAAAGAUUUGUCAGAAAUCUCCUUCCCCAGAAGCCUUAGGGGGGCUCUAAGGGAGGAAGACCCCAGACACUGAUUGAAGUGGAGUCUUUUAAUCACAAUUCAGGGAAUAAUAAUCAGAGACAUCCCAUCAGAAGCCUGGAGUUAUAAUCCUGUCUAGCCUGCUCAUGAUAAAACAAAACAAAAAAAAACAUCAGAAGGGUGGGAUAGGUAACUGCUUUCUUUUCUCAUGAUCUGGAGUACUGCCUGAAGUUUGAUGCCUUCUACUUGUUUAGUCCUGGAUAACACAAAGCUUGUAAUACAGUUACAGGCAUAUAUUGAAGACUGGAGGACAGAAUAGUCUUAAAUAGGUCUGCAGAGAAACUUCUAUAAUUUACCCAGUAAGAAAAUGUGGACUCUGAGAGCAGCCAGGGUGCCCAUGUUUCUCAGUGUAGCAAAAAGCUUAAAUGUGAGAUCAGAAAAUAUGGCCCUGCAGGAAGUCUGGUUGUUGGUUAGAAGUUAACAAACAAAAAAAGGCAGUGGUUAAAACCCUGUUAUGACAAUGAUGAGUUCUUGCACAUGUCUUUUUCAAAAUGGUGACUAAGGAGGUAGGGAGAAUGAGACACAUGGCAACCUUUUUUUAGGGAGGGCUGCCUGAGACCAGUUGUUGGACCUUGACUGCUGAACCAAUGCAAUACCCUCAUUCCCCCCUACCCCAACACACAUACACAUACACACACACACACACACACACUUCCUGACAAUUGAGAUGAAACAGAGGGGGGUAGAUCAAUCAAGCCAAAGCCGGGAGAGAGAUUGAGGGAGAGUAAGUUGGCCUAGGCCUCUUUUUAGAUACUCUUCCAGCCAAGAGACUUUGGCUGGAAGAGAGAUUUUGUCUUAACUCAAGACAGAAUUUAGAUGUGAGACAGAGUAGCAACACAGCAGGAACACAGUAGGAACACAGCAGGUAUGGGCACCACUGCCUCAUUAAUGAGGUGGAGAUCCUGUACCAAUCUCCAUUCUCCGUUUGGCUUUUGAAUUGGAAUGUUGGCAGGGACUAUUGCAUGGCUUUAAAUGUUCCUGGACUUUGAGAUUGUCUAUUAUGGCUUAAUGCUUUCCAAGUCUAAGGCUUUAGUGGAUAUCAUCUCUGAUAAAGAAAGGAGGACAGGUCUUUAAGAUGAAGCUAGACAGGCUGAGCAGUUAUAGCCUGACCAACUUUUCUCUGGACACUCCAAACUUCUGGAUUGAUGCCUAUCUCUGUUAGAUGGAGGCAGAAAGUCUCUCCUGGUCCUAUAAGAACCGUGGGCCAGGUUAUCUCUACCUAGAAAAGGUGCUGGGCUCUCUGGUGUGAUCAAAAAGGAGUGAGUAAAUAUUAGAUCAUUCCAGACACAGCUCAAAGAUUGGGUGAAGUAUCUAACUUGGGGUCUCCUGAGACACCCUUUAUGAUUACCAUCUAAGAGAGGGGUCCAAAGCUAGAGCAAAGGACAGACAAAGUUGCUCCAAUAUCCAAAGGAAAUUUAUAGAAAUUUAUAAGAACCACACAGGGCUCCUGGGUUCUGAUCUGACGUGUCACCAGAGCCUGUAAGGAGAGAUCUGGUAUCCUUCAUUUCCAUGCAGGAGUUCUAUCGAAAUGCCUAACUCAGAGUUCUUGGAUGUUAGAAAAAGAGUUGCAGAUUGGCACCUCCUCACCCAGGGCACCAGAAUGUUAGGAAAAGAGUCACAGAAUAGAGAGGAGGUAGUGUAUAAAUUUACAGCUAGACCGAAUUAUUUAGAGAAAAUAAAUCCAUAGAGGUGGGUGACCAGCUGCUUGCAUGUACAGGAUGGAGCAUGUGGCAGAAGGGCUGGUGGUGGAGGUAGGGGACAGCAGGUGUAGGGGAAUUCAGGAACUGGGCGAGGCCUUGGGAACCUGGAAAGAAUGCAGGGUGGGGUAUGAAGGCAAUAGGGUGUGAGACCCAGUUGAGUUUCAAGAGCAAGGAAUACAUUCCAAAGUUUAUCUCUUUUGGGCAAGGGGGGAGAAUGGCUGAGCCGUUUGUCCUAGUUCCAUCAUUGAUCUUUGGGGAAAACAACCUUUCUUACUUGAUACAGUUCCUCAUUCAAGAGACCCAAGGCCUUGUUACUUGUAUUAAAGGCCAGGGUUUAUGCAGUUUCAAUGCAAUAACCUCCGCUCGUGUGACCAUAGUAGCUACAUGUUGGGAGAGUAGGACAACUGGAUAAUACCACCAUGCUGUGUGUUUUACUCAGUGCUGAGCCUUGAAGGUAUCUGAGUUGAAAGGCAAGUUGGGAAGUAUGGGGACCCACUUCCCAGGUAAAUAGGGCCAUCUCCACAAAUAGCAUUCUACCCAGAUAUUAGGCCAACCAUAAGAUCCAUCCACAAGUACAUAAGGCACCUGAAAACACAGGAUGAGCUUUAACUUUAACAUUAGGAUCUUGCUUUCCCCAUUUGGUAUCUUUAGAUGUGUACUAUGUAGUCUUACACAAAGAUGCAGGUGUCCAUCCCAUUUGGAACCCAUUCCUUGUUUGUUCUGUGCAUUUUGGCACACUUGAGAGGAAUUCUAUUUCCUUUUCAGAAAGCCAACUCACAUCAUCCCAUACAGGAUACCCCAACCCUGCCUGGGUUUUUCACUGCUUCCAAAACUAAAAUCUUCACAUGAGGCCAGAUAUGGUUUUACAGUGGGUCAGAAGAACUCCAGCUUUCUAUUGAAAUCCAGUUGUGGUCAGUGGUUGUAGUUGAAUUCCAAGGCAGUCCAGUUGCAGAGCUGGCUGGUAGCUUGGUACAUGCUCAACAAGCUGUGGUUACUGUUGUUCAUGGUAUUUGUAGCCACCAGGCUAAGGGGGUAAGACAAAGUGGUUAUUGGUAUCAUCAAUGGCAAAUCCUGGCCAUCAAGUAAAACCCAAGCAAGUGAUUUAUCUUGAGAUAAUACUGUAGCUGGCGAAAGUAUUUGCCCUGGUCUCUUAUACCAGACUUCCCGGGGCAUAGCCUUUUCUGAGUACUCUUCUACAAGUAGGGGUACUAGAGAUGUUAGCAUUCUCCAUAAAACUGAAACAGAUAUACCCUUGAGCAAGGUAGUGGCCCCUUCCAUGUGUGUAAAAUGUACCUUGACCAUAGGGAGCCAAGUGGCUGUCACCCACAGUGUUACCUCCAGGUCAUACUCCAGUCCUACUCCUCACUGUGAUAGCAAAGCUAUCCAGGCACUAUUUGCUUUCCCUAUCUUCCAUGGCCGCUGCCAGGUGGCAUGCUCCCCUGGCUCAAGGCCGAGUGGUUUGUACCUUCAUUUGGAUGGGUGCUGUUGAUUAAUACAGCAAAACCUCCACCGGAACCAAUGCUGCUGCCCAAGGCCUUUCAUUCAAGAACUGUAACACAGUCUGUGUUGCUCCAUCCAAUUAUAGAGCCUUUUCUGAGGCCUUGCUUUACUAGACCAUUAUGUUACUCAGUUGUUGCAGCUGCCUAGGAAUGGUAUGGUGUAAUCCAAUACCUAGGCAGUUAGCCCAGUCUUACACUCCAGAGCCUGUAAAAUGGGUCCCAUGGUCACUUUCAAUAACCUGUGGUUACCCACAUCUGGCAUAUAGUCUUUUUUUUUUUUUAAGAAAACUUUUAUUUAAUAAAUAUAAAUUUCAAAAGUACAACUUUUGUAUUAUAGCGGUUUUACCCCCCAUAACCACCUUCCCACUCACAAAUCAUCUCAUCUCCUACUCCCUCUCCCAUCCCAUUCUUCAUUAAGAUUCAUUUUUAAUUAUCUAUAUAUAAAGAAGAUCAACUUAGUAUAUACUAAGUAAAGAUUUCAACAUUCUGCACCCACACAGACACACAAAGUAUAAUGUACUGUUUGGAGAAUAUAUUUACCAUUCAUUCUCAGAGUACAACACACUAAGGACAGAUAUUCUACAUGGGGAAUAAGUGCACUCCUGUUGUUGAUUUAACAAUUGACACCCUCAUUUAUGAUGUCAGUAAUAACCCAAGGCUCUUAUCAUGAGCUGCCAAGGCUGUGGAAGCCUCUUCAGUUCACAAACUCCGACCUUAUUUAGACAAGGCCAUAAUCAAAGUGGAAGUUCUCUCCUCCCUUCAGAGAAAGGUAUCUCCUUCUUUGAUGGUCCAUUCUUUCCACUGGGAUCCUACUCAUAGAGAUCUUUCAUUUAGGUGUUUUUUUUGUUUGUUUGUUUGUUUGCGAGAGUGUCUUGGCUUUCCAUGCCUGUGAAACUCUCAUGGGCUUUUUAGCCAGAUCUGAAUGCCUUAAGGGCUGAUUCUGAGGCCAGAGUACUGUUUAGGGCAUUUGCCAUUCUGUGAGUCUGCUGUGUAUCCUGCUUCUCAUGUUGGACCUUUUUAAUUCUAUCAAUUAGUAUUAGCAGACACUGGUCUUAUUUAUGUGAUCCCUUUGACACUUAAUCCUCUCUUUAUGAUCAAUUUAACUAGUAAAAUGGCAUUGGUACCUGCCAACAUAAUGGGAUUUGGAGUCCCAUGGCACGUUUCUAGCUUUACCCUUAGGGUAAGUUUGAGUGAGCGUGGAAAUCUUAUCUAUGGCUUCCUCAGAAAUGACCUUGCUUUUACCAGACUAAAUAACUCCCAAAAAUUUGAUAGAGCCCAGGUUUCUGCAUUUUGGACUCAUUGAUUGCUCAGCCACUUGACUUUAGAUGGUUCAACAAAGUAGGAAUAGCUGCUUCCAAAUCUGCAAGACAGUCACCAGUUAACAUCAUAUCUUCUGUUUAAUGAACAGUCAUAGGCCACCAUGUGAACUUUGCUGCUGUGAUAAAGGUGGAAGAACACUGAGAGUCCAUUACCAUCCAUCCCAUGUGAAGGUGAACUGAUCUUGACUCUCAGUGGAACAGAAAAUAUUAUCCAGAUCUAAGACAAAAUAGUAAGUUCCACGUCCAUAGCUGAGGCAGCCCAUGAUGAUCCUGCUGCAUGCAGAGAAGGAGCAACUUUAUUAAGCUCCCAGUAACGUGUCAUCACCCUACACGUUCCUUCUGGUUUUUUCACAGGCCAUACUGGGGUGUUAAAUGGGCUAUGCAUAGGCUUAAUAAUGCACACCUCCUCCAAUUUCUGGAUAGUUUCAGUAAUAACUUCUUCAUGACCCCCUGGCCUUUUGUAGUAUUUAAUAUUGGUCACUUGCCUUGGUGUGGGUUGCUAUAGUGGUAGGUGGUCAGCAUGCCCCCUCAGCACUGUUUUAACCACAUGCGUUCACAGGCAGAACUCCCCCCACUGUAAUUUUCAGCCAUAGACCCUGCAUGUAUGGGGGACAUAUACUCAGUAUAUUCCUGGUUGGUAAAUACCCUAUUUCCAAAGGCAGCUUUACUGCCUUUGCUUGAAUAGAGUGUCCUCCAAAGCUAUCUGUGGCUGCUGGGGCCCCAAGAAACUUUCAGGGUUGCCAUGCAGUAAUGUACAUUUAUCAGCCAUUGCCAGCACUCCCUGAACAUUUGAGAAAGAUCAGUGGAUGGUGAGUUCCACGUGUGGUGUCUAGUCUCCAUCUGUCCCAUCUGUCCCAUUCCAGUGGGUAUCUUGACCUUCCUAAUCAAAUUUAAAUGCCCAUUUGUCACCAGUGGCUUUUCCAGACAGCUCAAAGUCCUUCAGAAAAUCUUGGAGCUGCACUGCUUGGGCUCCUGACAUCCAGUUAGUUCCUUUGCUGUCAUUAUGCCGCCUAAUGGCCAGAACCAUUGUUCUGGUUUUCAGUUGCUGCCACAGUUUCAACAAUACCUUGUUAGUCUGUACAUCUAACUUUUUGCUGUUUGACCCUGCUGCCAGGAAAUCAACCCACAUCUUAGUUUGAGUGACCUUGAUUGGUCAUCUCCCGUUUUUUGUGUGUGUGUGUGUGUGUUGAGUUGUAGUUCACAUCCCCUUUCACCUGCAUGGUGUCUUGGCCUCUCCCAAAUCAGCAACACCAUCGACAAUCACAUUGAUAGGCUGUCCCAAAUAUAGCGCUACUAUUGCCAUCAAGGAAACAGACAAAAAGAGGGAGCAGUCUGCCACCUAAGAUUCCUCAUUGCUGCCAUGAAAACUUCAUUUUCUGGUCUGUGAAUUCCAGUAUUAUAGAUAGCAUUAUGCAUGCCCGUCAUGCACUUGCUGUAACUCAGUGUUCAUCUGCCACUUAGUGAUAGCCCCAGGUAAAUCUUCAGAAUUAGACCAAACCAAGCAAGCAGCAGCCAUGAACCAAUUCUAAAGAGAAUGCUUCCUUGCUGUUUGAUGGGCAGUCUAGAACCUCUGGUCUAGAGCGGAGUGCACAGAGAUGCCAUUUUGUCCCUCUCUAACCCUGAGAGCAAAAUGCCAUACAUCCCUACAUCCCAUAAGCAGAGCCACUAAGCAGCAAUCGAUUCAGAAGGAUUCUCUGUGAAUUUUGCUACAGAUCUGCUAGCUCUGCCUGAGUGUACAGGUGGAACACUGAGUGCUCAGCAGUCAGAGGGGAGGAGUCCUGCAGGAGUCCUUGCUUGCUACCUCUUUAUCUUUUGGGUAAUCCCCAGAUGGGCCUUGAGCAAUUUAGGAAGCUCAAGUGUGUCCUCUUUAUCACUGGAAUGUGUACCCAUUACAAUCAGUGGGUUAUCUGGUAUCAGCUGCAACCUGAAGGGCUUCAGCCCCUCCCUCAGGUGCAGAUCUGUCUCCUUUCACCCUUUGUGUUGUAGUACUGUCUCCAGUGACUCCUGAGACUCCACCUGCAAUCUAAUCAUUUUCUGAUUGUAGAGCAGUUAGAAAGAUUCAGCCCUUAGUUCCAGCCAUUCAAGCAUCUUCCUUAUCAAAAGUUUUUCCAGGAAUAUUCAAUGCCUGUUUUACACAAGGGGGUCAGUUAUCCACUGUAAUCAAUUCUUGGCAUGAGCUUGGCCACCCAGUACCACACACUUUUAACCAGCCACCCCUGAAUUCUGUCCUACAAGGUUGAAGAAGGCUCCACUGUUUGGGCCUAAGUCAAAUCCUGCUGACUAUGCCAAGUGUAAUUCAGGAGUUUGACUUCUGAGAAACUAGGGCCAGGUUCAGCAGGCCAAAGAACAAUAUAGGAGCUUUGAGCAGGUCCAUAACCUCUUUUAUGUGGUAAGUGGUAAGUGAAAAUACACAUAGGAAUACAACCACUUGUCCAGUGGCAGCUGACUGGACUGUGAUGAGGUAUCUGAACCCAGAUAUGUUCCCCUCCCCAAGCUUAUUAUAUGAACAUGGAGCCAAGCCAUUACAUAGUAGGGUCAUGGGCAGCUAGCCAAACAAGUGGCCCUGUCAGUUGCCAUGACAGCAGUUGCCAUUGAGGCACAGAGAUAUAGGAGCAUAAAGAUUAGCAGGCAAGGGUGUAAGGUAUGGAAAAUUGAGAAAUUCCAUCUUCUCAAGUUCAUUGUCACAAGUACAAAGAACACUGGAUUUCUGUACUAUAAUGCCCCAUUCACGACUGUAUGUGAAUGUGUGCACAGGUGUUUAUGAUUGUAGGCUUUACCACCCUUGCCAUGAUCCAGUGUGGCCCAUUUACUGGCUAUAUUUCUGAUGGUUCCAUUGUAUAUAUUCCUAACCCAUUUAUUUGAAUGUUGCAUAGAUGUUUUAAAGGAAAAGACAAAGUAAAAUGGUUUUGAGACUGGGAGCCACUCCUUCUUCAAUGCCAAUAAUCAGCUAUACAAAUCAAACUAUAGUUACCUUAGGGAUAAUCACUUUGCACCCAAGUAAAUUAGACAAAUAGCCAGCGGAAGCAAUGCCUGAAUAACAGAGGACAACAUAGGUGAUAAAGAUGGCAUAGUGCAUGCAUUCAAUGUAAGAGCAUCAGAGUCGUUUGCUUUUUCUACAUUAAUUUAGUGCAGUGAAUAUGGCCUCCUUUUGCAUUAUCUCCUACGGCUUCUCUUAAUCCACACUCCUGUAGUAAACACAUGAUUUGAGAUUUUUGAAAACUUAGAAGUCAUGGUUGUUAAUGUAGAGAUAUACUCCUAUCCAAAAAGGAAGAACUUUUAUCAAGAAAAUGCUGUAGUCAAUUUAUUUCUGCUGUUUUGUGUCUUUUUAGUUAAUAUUGCUAAAUCAUAAGCUUCUUAAGGAGAGAGGAAGUAUUUGUGUGUGUAUGCCUUUCUGAUUUCCUGCACUUGGCUUUCCAUUACUCUUGCUGGUAUAAAUUUAUUGAAAUAAUUCUUAAAUGCUUGUAUAAUUAAUGGGAAACAUUAUAAAUAGUGGGAAAAAGUAUAACUUAGCUUUAACGAGCAUUUUCUUUUUCUUUUUUUUUUUUUUUUUUGAUAGGCAGAGUGGACAGUGAGAGAGAGAGACAGAGAGAGAAAGGUCUUCCUUUGCCGUUGGUUCACCCUCCAAUGGCCGCCGCUGCAGCCGGCGCACCGCGCUGAUCCGAUGGCAGGAGCCAGGAUCCAGGUGCUUUUCCUGGUCUCCCAUGGGGUGCAGGGCCCAAGCACCUGGGCCAUCCUCCACUGCACUCCCUGGCCAUAGCAGAGAGCUGGCCUGGAAGAGGGGCAACCGGGACAGAAUCCGGCGCCCCGACCGGGACUAGAACCCUGUGUGCCGGCGCCGCAAGGUGGAGGAUUAGCCUAGUGAGCCACGGCGCCGGCUCUUAACGAGCAUUUUCUAUGUCAGGAGUGCAUUAGAUAUUUUGUGUGUGUAUCUUACUUCAGGGCAGUGUUAAUUGCGUGAAUAAUGGCAAGUUUUGCAUGUGUUUGCUUCUGAGUUUCUAUAUGCCCCUCCCUGAAGGUUCUCUAGUGUCUCAUUCUGCCUUUCCAGCAGAUGGAAGCUAGCUCUCGCUCUGUCUCUCUCUCUGUGUGUGUAUGUGUGUUUAACUGCCUUUCAAGUAAAUUAAUCAUUAAUAAAUAAACAAUUUUAAAAAGUUUAAACAAUUUCCAUUUAAUUAGCUAAGUAUAUAGAAUUAGCAGAAGUGGGUUUACCAGACAGCAUGGAAAUGAACACAUCCUAUCAUAGCAAAAGUUUGAUGGAUGUUCUGGUCCCCUCAUGGGCAUAUGCAGUUGUAGACUGUUUCCAGAUCUGAAACUAAGUCCUUGAUCCUGGUGGUACCACAGGUUUUUGUGCUGAGACUCCUUUAGGAAGAUUGAUUAUCAGUGUUUUACAUUUAUUAAAAUUUUUGUAAACAUGAAAAUGUCCUAGUUCUUAAAGUCAAUCAAGUCCACAUUUUCAAUUAGAGGAAGAAAGUAAGAUCAGUUCAUUGACUGAUUCCUGAACAACAUCUUUCGCCAAGUUUCUAGAAUAUUAGAAACCCUGUUUUCCAAGAGUCUACCACUGAUUCUUGCUUGUGCAUUUUAAUCCAGUCAGUUCCAACAGGCUUUUUAGAUUUAAGAACAGACUUACUUCCCUUUCUCAGCACUUAAUUUAGCUAGAUCAUUCAAAAAUAUGGUUGAAUUCAAAUAUUUGUUUUGGAGAACUUUAGUUAAAUUGCCUUGAAACUGUUCAAUUUACUAUAUGUUGGGGCCAGAGAACAUUCUGGAAUUAAACAUAACUUUUGUCCUAUAAAUAUUUAUUUAUUUGAAAGGCAAAGGGAUAGAGAUCUAGAGAUCUAGAGAGAGAGAGAGAGAGAGACCAUCCAUCAGCUCACUCCCCAAAAAACUGCAACAGUGAAUACUGGGCCAGGAGGCACAUGGGUGCCAGGAACCCAAGUGUUUGGGCUAUCCUCUUCUGCCUUCUCUAGCAUUAACAGGAAGCUGGAUCAGAAGCAGAGAAGCCAGGACUCAAACUGACACCCUGAUAUGGUAUGUGGGGAUCACAAACAGUGCUGUGCCACAAUGCCCACUCCCAACUUUUGUCAGCCAAAGUUCAAUCAUUCUUCCUCACUCUACCUCAUUUUCACACCUGUUUCAAGUAGCUGUGUAUAUCACAUUUAUUUAACGGGACACAAUAAGCUCUGUUUUGAAGGCUUUACAGAUACUUUCUUAUUUGUUUAAUUAAACGUAGGUAGGUAGUAUUUUAUGGCAACUGAGAUGGAAUGUAUAGGUAUCUGAAAUACAAAAGCUUGGUAGUAUAACUUGUUAGUUUUCUGUAUUUAUCUCUGGUCUUUUGUUUUAAGGAAUACAAAUUUUUUAAGUUCAACUAGUUAUUCUUCCCACCAUACCCUCCCUCCCACCCACACUCCCACCCCUCCUCCUCCUCCUCUCUCUGCUUGCCAGUCCUAUUCUCCAUUAAGAUUCAUUUUAAGUUAACUUUAUACUCAGAAGAGCAGCUCUAUACUAAGUAGAUUUCAACAAUUUGUAUACACAUACACACACACACACAUAAACUGUUUGAGAACAGGGUUUACAGUUUAACUCUCAAUAUAAGUCAUUGAGGGCAGAGGUCCUGCAUGAGGAGUUAGUGUACAGUCUUUAACCUGCUGCAGCACACUGCCAGCUCUUCAUAUGUCUCUGAAUUAAACUUUAAAGAAAAUUAUCAGGGCUGGCACUAUGGCAUAGUGGGUUAAGUCACCACCUGCAAUGUUGGCAUCCCAUGUGGGCAUCUGCUACACUUCCUAUCUAGCUCUCUGCUGAUGUGCCUGGGAAAGCAGUGGAAGAUGGCCUAGUUACUUAGUCCCCUGUUCCCACUUGGGAGACAUGGGAAAAGCUCCUGGCUCCUGAAUUGAGCCUGACCCAGUCCUGGCCAUUGUGGUCAUUUGGGAAGUGAACCAGUGGAUGCAAAAACUCUCUAUCUCUUCCUCUUUUUAUCUUUAACUCUACCUUUCAAAUUAAAAAAAAAUAAUAAAAGUUAUCUCCCUUUUUCAAGUUAGGGAAAUGGAAUUGACUAAGCAAGGAGCAUUUUUAGAUAUGAGGUAAGAAACAGGAAGGUGUAUUCUUUCUAGAGAAGAUGGGCCUUGGCAAAGAGAUUUUUCUGGAGACGAUUCUCAGGAGCAAGACCCACAAAUACUCUACCCCUUGGUGGGGUGCAAGUAUAAGUUACCCAAUAGCUAUUUCACACAUGUGUACCCCCACAUACUAAGACUGAUUGUGUGGAGAUCAGGCAGAAGUUAUCAGUUGUCUGGUUUCAAGAGUUCUCAUACAGAUAUAGCUCCUUAGGGUUGUCUUCAACCAUGUAUCACAGGUGAUUUCUUUGACUCCAUUGCAAACACUGCUUUAAGCAAAACUUUGGAGAGUUCUACCUUAUUCCAUCUUCUGUGUUACACUGUACUACUAGAGGCUUCUGUGCAGGGCAGUAGUGGGAACAUCAGUCUUGAGUAGAAGCUGUACUGGAGAGAAGGUGCAGAAAGUGAAUUCUCCUGUGCAAGUGGGGGGAGAUGGAGAACUGAAUUUCCACCUGGCCAUGUCUUGGUUCUGGAGACAUUUGGAGGGAGACCUAUGGGCCUUGGUAAGUGAUGUGAUUGGAAAAGGAGAAAUAAGGGAUACUUAGAUUGCUGAUAAUUAAUUAAAUCAGAGUUUUGCCUACAUUCAGUGUGACUUUCUAAUGCUCUUGAACUUGCCUUAGCUACAUUAGGGUUGGUACAUCAAACACAGCUAUGGUUGAAUCCAUCCUUCCUAUUUCCUUUUUUUUCUUUUUUUAAAGAUUUAUUUACUUAUUUGAAAUUCAGAGUUGCACAGAGAGAGAGGAGAAGCAGAGAAAGAGAGAGGUCUUCCAUCUGAUGGUUCACUCCCCAAUUGGCCGCAACGGCCAGAACUGCGCUGAUCCGAAGCCAGGAGCCAGGAGCUUCUCUGGGUCUCCCAUGUGGGUGCAGGGGCCCAAGGACUUGGGCCAUCUUCUUAUUGCUUUCCCAGGCCCUAGCGGAGAGCCAUAGUGGAGCAGCCAGGUCUCGAACCGGCGCCCAUAUGGUAUGCCGGCGCUUCAGGCCAGGGCGUUAACCCACUGCGCCACAGGGCUGGCCCCCUAUUUCCUUUUUAUAUUCCCUUAGUCUGGAGCUUGAUUUCCAUGCUUGAUUUGUCUCCUUUUAGUUUUUCUCCCAUGUUUGUCAUAAAGAGAACCAGAAUUUAGUUGAUAAUCAUCUUAGAUUGAUUUGAAUGAUGUCAUUUCCAUGACCCCUCAUCCAUGAUCCUGGAUGCUUUUGUGUUUCAUUUGUGAUGGAAUUGCUUUGCUUUAUCAAUUUUGAUAUUGCUAAUAAACAUUCUGCUCAACAAAUUUUGUUAAGAUAAUACAAUAUUGUUUCUUCUUAGACUUGCAUAUAAUUAUCUGAUAUUUAUAUAUGAUCUGUUUCCUCUGAAUAAGUUAUUUUUUCCAAAGUAGCCUGCAAAUAUUAAUGGGAAACAAAGAAUUCUAAACCAAGUAAAGGAAUGUAAUAGAAUUUUUAGCAAGAAUUUUCAAAAAGUGAACUGAAAUGAUUCAGACUUGAAUAUGGUCAGUAUUUGAAAAUCAGACAUAAAUUUUUAAAAAGAGAUGUCUAAUUAUUCUAUCAAUAAACAGUAUUUCAUUGAAUUCGCAGUAUGUUCACUCCAGGUGAAAGAAAUUGAAGAUUAGAUUUUCCUAGGAGGGAAAAUAUUUAGUACAGACCUUUUAGAAUAAUUCAGUUUUGAAUCUAAGAAAACUAAAUGUAUCUGUUACCAGAGAAGCAAAGGGUUCUUGUCUUCGCGCAAGAAAGAAUUCAGGUGUGAGACAGAAAGCAGUGGAAAGCAACAUAGCAAGGUUUAUUAGGAUAGGGACAUCCAUAAGAAUGGAUGGGCACCUCUCCAGACGGGACCUGAGAAAGAGUGUUUAGUUCACAUUUAGGCUGGGAUUUUUAAGAGGAUGGGUCUUGCCUUCCUGCAGCCAUUUCUCUCCACAUCUCCUUCUUCUCCGGAACAAAGGACUUGUUAUGUGUAAAUAUGAAACAUUUCUUUCUGAGUUUUUCCCCUUGAAGCUAUCAGACAGGGGAAGCCUGACUGGCAUCGCCCCACCUUAGAGGAAGAAUGUUUAUCAGGCCAGGUAGAAGAAGCAGGACCCCCUGGAAGGUCAUCAGGAUCCGGGCGGGACUUUGAAGUGCAGAUACUAGGCUGCACUUGGAAGAUUAUCGGGUAGAAAGGUCAGGACUCCCUGGACAGUCUUCAGGAUCUGGACAGGACUUUGAAGUGCAAGAUGCUGCGCUUCUGGAGCUUCCACAGUAGGUGCUGGUCUUCAGGCCCUUCUCGUACACACAUAGGCUCAAUUUCUGACUUCCUACCUAACAUAUCCAUUUCAGAUUUGUGAACUCUAUUCAGUACCCCUCUCUUGCUUUCCUACUGCUAUUUCUUUUGCUAUUUCCACAGAAAGGGCUGGGUCAGUGAGCAAAAGACCUUUCUCUGCUAUGCUUUCUGUGGACUGAACAUAAGGAGAUCUGUAGCACAUCCCGGUGCUCUUGGCUUAGUUUCUUUUGGGAAUUUGAGUUUUCUUACCUCCUGAACUACUGCACUUGGGAAGAGCCAGGGAGUUUCACCUUGGGCCAUCCUGCCUUCUGCUCAGCCUGCUAAUUAGUCAUUAAUUAGUAACUGUGGGGUGCCGAGGAAAAGUCUCACCGACACCAACAUGCUCCUCAUAGUGAACCUUAAGCUCCAGGCAAGAGAAUUUUAUGCCUCCUUUGAGCUUCUGUCAGCUUCCCCCUUCUGCCCUUCCCAUUAUCCAGAUCACUUUUAAAAUCUGGCCACUUGAUAAGGGUCUUUGUGUCAGUCCCCGAUUCUCACACUGGUUAUAGUGGUUCCAGACCCGCUUCUGAUGCUAAUCAUUUCAAAGGGCUUUUGAAUUUGUGGGAAGAGACAGCAAAUGCCUGCAUUGCAGGCUCCAGGCUUAACCAGCCACGAAGACUAGACUUUAAUCAAUGUGGAGAGUGCUCAAUUGAAGAAAGCAGAGGCCAGAUACCUUGGUGUAGCAUUUUUCCUACCCUCUGUUCCCUAGUCAAGUUACCCAGUUACGAUGGUUUGAAUGGCAGCAACUUCACGUUAUUCUAGAAGCACAUGCAGAAAAGAAGGGCUGCUGCCUUAAUAUUCUUGAAAUUCAGUUUUCUAGAGGGAGAACCUUUAUGGUCUGGUUUAUUGUAUUAAACAUGGUCUAGUCUGGGAAGUAACAUGGAGACUUUCUACAGAUGUGCUACCCUGCAUAAUUCUGGAAAUAACUGAUAUUGUGCUGGUGAGCUAACCAUCCAUGUUGUUACUCUCAAGGACAAAAACUCAGUCUGCUCUGAAAUUUAAAUGAAUGCAUGGAAAAACUAUUAAAAAUUGAUAAAGUUUUUAAGAGUUAACUGGAAUGAAAGUGAAAUCGGAGAAGACCCCUAAAUUUUACACUAAAAUGUGGCUCCUUAAAGUUCCUGGGUGCCAUAUGUGCUAUCGGAAUUUGGGGUGCCUUACGAUUUCACCACGGGCUUAUUACUAAAUCCCCGAUAUUAAUAAGCCCAAGAGGGUUCUUGCCUAAUAUUUAAAGAAGAAUUCUAAAUACCGGCACAGAUAAACGAGGCAGCAUAGUACAUUUUAAGCUUUUAUUUAGUGCAAGAGGUAUCUAGGAAAGUGAAGGCUUUAGUUCAGGCAGGAGAGAGGGGAAAGUCUGGAAACUAGGGUAGCAUCCAUACCACUCAGAGCAGCAAGCACCUCGAGCUGCUAUCCACCGCUUAUCACCAGCAGCACCACAGAGGCAGAGAGCCUUUUGCAACACUCCCUGCCUUUAUAUAUGUUUUCCACAGUGGAGUGGCUUGUGGCCAAGUGGGCACUCAGGUAUGGUCAGGUAGAGCCUGAUGUCACAUGGGGGCAUGGUGAGGGUAUCAGGUAGGGUGUAAGGUCACACAGAGGCAUGGUGAAGGUAUCAGGUAGGGGGUGAAGUCACACAGAGGUGUAGCGAAGGCGUGGUCUCCCAGCUCACAAAACGAACUGAUUUUAGCCUGUAUGCCUGCCUGCUUCAAAAGGAAUUAGCACCUCUAUUUGAUAGUAAAUAAAGUGAUCACAGCAAUGUAUCUGCAUUUUUCAUUAAUAUUCUGUGAAAUAGUGGUGCUUUGGUAUUUCAGAAUGAAAAUUAAACUAUUAGCUUGGUUACUAGAUUGCUAUUGUAACAAAGUAAAACUUGUAUAAAACUUAACAGUUUUCAUCUCUCUCAAACUGGUAUAAUUCUAUGUGGCUUCACAGGAUAGAAUAUUUGCCAAUUUUUUUUUUUCUUUUUUAAUUUGAGAGGUAGAGUUGCAGGCAGUGGGAGAGACAGAAAGAAAGGGUCUCUGUCCUCUGGUUCACUCCCCAAACUCCUGCAACAACCUGAGCUGGGCGUAUAUGAAGCCAGGAGCCAGGAACUAAUUUGGGUCUCUUACACAGGUGCAGGAGCUGAAGCACUCAGGCUAUCCACUGCUUUCCCAGGCCCUAAGCAGAGAGCUGGAUCAGAAGUAGCGCCCAUAUGAGAUACCAGCACUGCAGGUGGAGGCUUAGCCUGCCCCUGUUCUGGAUUUUUAAAGCUGCAAAAAUAGAACUAAUUUUAAACAGAAAUCAAGGGGGAAACUCUGCAUGGGUGUUUGGUUUUAAUCACAAGAGUGUACUCAUCAGAAUCUCCAGGAGAAAGUUGGCAAUGUUGUGUUUCCCACCUGGCUAUGACAUUUCUACCACAAAGUGCACUGUGGAACCAACCAGUCAGCACAUCUGGGAUUCCACUGUGAGGCUCCUGCUACAUUAAGAAACGUUUACCUGGAACACUUGAUACUUACUAACUUCAAGGGCCCACUACUGGGACCAGCACCGUGGUGCGCCUGUGGCGCCAGCAUCCCAUAUGGACGCCGGUUCUGGUCCCGGCUGCUCCUCUUCCGAUCUGGCUCUCUGCUGUGGCUUGUGGAGAAUGGCCCAAGUGCUUGGGCCCCUGUACCACCUGGGAAACCUGAAGAAGGUACCUGGCUCCUGGCUUUGGAUCAGCGCGGCUCUGUCUGUUGUGGCCAUUUGGAGAGCGGGUCAGCGGAAGUAGGACCUUUAUCUCUGUCUCUCCCUCUCACUGUCUGUAACUCUACCUCUCAAAUAAAUAGAUAAAAAUCUUAAAAAAAAAAAAAAAGGACCAACUACUGAGGAUAAUCAAGUCUUUCAGUCCAAGGACCACUUGUCUGUUUGCAUUUCUUAGCAUAGGUGAGGUGUAUUUUUCUGUAAAACACUUGUUCGGUUUUUCACAGAAUUAAUAUUUUUCAGUUCCAGUAAGUUUUAAGCUUUUCAGCAAUUCAUACUCUUUUAAAAAUAUAAUUAAGCAUUCAGCAUCAGCUGAUAACUUGUUAAGAAAAUUAAGUAGUGACAGUAAUCCCUUAUUUUAACAUUGGCAUUAGAGUCAAGCACCGUGGAUAUGGUUGAAAAGUAUAAAUGGAAUGUGUCAGCAGACACACAGCAGCAAAGGGUAUUUGACAUCCCAAUGUCUUAUAAUGCCUAAGAGGCAGGAGUUUUCAACUACUUCAUGUAGAAAACAGUAAUUAGAUGCCAUAGUCAUAAUGAAAUCCAUAGAUACUGACAAAAUAUAAUGAAAGUACAAUUUUAAGACUAUUAACUGCAAGUAAUAAAAAAAGCAAUUUAAUAAGAUAAGUUCCAAUAUUUCUAUAUACAGGGCUAUUCUCUAGGUCUACUUUGUGUAUAGGUGCUCACUUUCAACAAAUAUGCUAUACAAAACUCUAGUUAUACUCAAGAGUCCUUUAUAAAGCCUCUGACAGGAAGCCAGUUAGCCUGGGGGAUAUCCAGUGUCACUAUCCUACCUUUCGGUUGAGGCCUGGUACCAUCGUGGGCUCUGACACAUUUCUUACUUGAGACUCAAUAGAUUUUUCCUUUCCAGGCAAAUUAGGUACUUUCUGGAUGAUUCUUCAUGAGGUGUCACCAUAUCUUUUCUUGUCUCUUGUCCUACAGUGGGCACAGUGGAUCAGUGAAGUUAUAGAGUAAUAUAAGUUCACCUCCUUUCCCCAUGAUAUUUCUUAGAAAUUAGAGGAAGGGAGCAUAUUUGCAAACACUUAUAUUCACCCACUUUUAAUUAUACCCUAAAACAGAGCUGGGGAGCCUCUUGUCUCCCAAAGACAAUUUACAUAUUUUAUUUUCAUUUUUAUUUAUUUAUUUGAAAGAAUUACAGAGAGGGAGAGACAGACACACACACACACACACACACACAGAGAUCUUCUAUCUGAUGGUUUACUCCCCAAAUGUCCACAACAGCAGGGCUGGGCCAUGCCAAAGCCAGGAGCCAGGAACUUGGCCCAAGCACUUGGGCCAUCUUCUGCUGCUUUCCCAGGCACAUAAGCAGAGAGCUGGAUUGGAAAUGGAGCAGCCAGGACUCAAAUCGGCAGCUAUAUGGGAUGCCAGCACUGCAGAUGGGCCUCUUAGGCAUUGUAAGACAUUGGGAUGGCUAAUACCCUUUGCUGCUAUGUGUCUGCUGACACAUUCCAUUUAUACCUUUCAACCAUAUCCAUGGUGCUUGACUUUAAUGCCAAUGUUAAAAUAAGGAAUUACUGUCACUAUUUAACCCACUACACCACAGUUCUGGCCCCCUGUUUGUAUAUUUAUGACAUCAUUCUGGGCCACACAAAAUCAUCAACUUAAAAAUUAUCCUGCUAUGUAUUUAUUGAAUUUUGAGUCCUACCUACAGUUGCCUUGGCAGUGCCAGACCAAAUUUUUUGCUGGCCUUGUUUGACAACCAAAAACUCUCUUAAGUGGAUAGUGCGAAAUCAUAUAUAUAAUUUUUUUAAGGCACCAGGAGACUUUUAAUGAAUUCUUGGGCAGCCUGGACUUAGGGGUGUGGAAGGUGGGGCAGAAGAUCAGGCUUGGGGGUUGGGCUGCUUGUCAGUUGCUGGGGGUGUGGGAGAGAGAAAUGUUGCCAGGCCUUUGGAGGGCAGUAGAGGCUUCAGUAUCGGGGGCAUGGGAGCAGGAGGGUGCACCCCGGGAUUUGACAGUGGUUGCCAGGGAGCUGGGGGUGGACCCCUUGUACCUGCAGGUGGACCCGGGAGACCUGGGGAUGAACUGCAGGAGCUGGUGGACUCCUGGGAUCUGGAGUUGAACUGUGCAUGCUGGUGGGCACACCCCUGGGGCCUGAGGAUCAACCCCAGCCCCUGAAGUAAGGUUGACCCCCGGGGCUGGUGGGUGGAUUCUGGGUGCUGGAGGGUGGACCCCUGGGGAAGGAGGUGAACUACUGGUACAGGGGUGAUGUGGGGUGUGGACCACUGGGGCCGGCAGAGGCAACUGGAGGGCCCCCCCAAAGGCACAGGCCUCUUCGAGGGCAUGUAGGGCAGAGAAUCUGGCAGCAGCAGUUGAGGGGGCAAACCAUUCAUCAGCAGGAUAGGGCCGCUUCACCCUGGGAGGCCUGGCAGGGAGGCUUCUCCAUCUUGACAGGGAACUGCAGGAAGAACUGCUUGGUCUUCCUUGUUCCAGUGAGUCCAAAACUUGCCCUUGGCCUUGUCGAUCUCUCUGCUUGGCACCUUGAAGGCAGUGGUCUUGUAGGGCUCUGCCGCCAUUAGCAGGUACUGCCAACACAGGUACCAGGGCUCAAUCCUCUGCUCGUACUUGGACAUGCAGCGGUGUUGGGGUGUGAUGCCCUGAUGCCCUAGACAAUCUAUGGGAAGUCGAUCUGGAAGUGGAGUUUCUGCUGGUCCAUCUCUGUGUCCCCCUGCUUGGUCAGUUUGUAGCCUGAGCCGCAGAUCUUCACAAACUUCUUCACCUCCACCUUGACCUUCUCUGGUGCUAGCUGGGCGAGGCCUCCUUCUGCCAAGUUGAUCUGAUGCUUUUUCCCUUGGGUGUGUGUGAGAUAGCUGCCCUGGUUAUUGUGGAGCUUGCACUUGUAGCAUCCCUGGUGCAGUCCUGGUUGCUCCCCAAGAAGCAGGCCACCCCCACUCUACCCCUGCACUCCCACUCUUGCCCCAAAGGCGAUGCUGAAAAUUGAUGGGAGAAACCUUUGCCCAAGGCCUCCGCUGUUUGAGCCUCUGGAGCCAUAGCCACCGAAAAAUCAUCUGUAACUGAGGUUAUAUGGACCACAAAAAUUAACCAUGGGGGACAUAAACCCCCAUGGGUUAUGGGCAUGAACCUGGGAGGGAAGGGGUUGCUGCUAUAGUGCCUCUCAGUCUUCUCGCUUCCUGCCCAACACACACGCCUGUGCACCUCUCUUUAAAGCACAGUGCUGGGUAUGGAGAUUCACUCAGUUAAAACUUGACAAAUGGGUGUUCUAGACAAAUGACUGCAGUGAACUUUAAAGAGUCUGUGGCUUUAUCCUCUUUGAUUAACAUUGACAAGAUAGACUUCAUGACUGCUGUUAUGGUUGCGGUGGACCGUGCAAAGCUGUUGGCUGAUUUUCUUGCUGCAAUUCCUUUUGCUAUUUCUCCUGAAAUACAAAGAAAAUAGGAUGUUUGUGUAUCUCUGUCUCUCUCACUCUGUCUCACUCUUUCCUUAUGUAAACAGUAUGUCUUUUUAGCACAGUUGUCUCACUUUGUCUUGGACUCAAGGUGACCACCCUUCAUUGUUGGGAGCAGUGUAUGAGUGUGGAUUGGGGUUACAAAAAUAAUAAUAGCUAACGUUUAUGUAAUGUCUUUGAUAUUCUACUGUGAGUUUUAAUGCACAGUAUACUACCUCAUUUGGUCAUCACACUAACCUUGUAUAGUAAGUAUUAUAUUAUAAUUAUACCCAUUUCAAAGAUGAUUAGAUUGAGCUUCAGGGAGAUUCAAAAAUCUUCAGAAGUUACUGAACUUCCAGAUCUUCAGAACUGGAUCAUGUGGCAUUUUCAUUUUAGUCAUUUUUCUGAUUUGAGAUUAUAGCUUGGAUCAGUUUACCUGUGCUUCAUUUUUGAUGGCUCAGAAAACCCGUUCAAACACAACUAGUGAAAUCAGAUUUAACUCCCAGGAAAUCUCAAGCCAGGUUUCAGCUCAACAGUAGGCCACUAUAGUUUCCUCUGUCUAACUGAUCUGAGCUCGUGUCUCUGUUCAUUGUGAAGUUACUAAUAUUGAGAAUAGAGAGCUGUAGUACCUACCUGUGUAUGAGAUGGGUUCUCCCAUUCCAGGUCUCUUCUUAAACAGGUCUACUACCCCUAGGCUUAAACUUGUGAUUCAAAUGGAACAGUAUCCAGUGCAGCCUCUGUAUUAUAUUUCUACAGACAUUAAAGUGAAUAAGACCUUAAAUCUGCAGGGAAACUUCUUAGUACUGUUUCUCACUGUAUUACAUGUUGGUAAUUAAAAACCCUUGAGAAAUAAAAAAUCAUAUAAACAAACAGAUAUGUAGAAAAUUAAGUACUUGUGACAUUUUAGGAGUGCAUUUUUGUUGUGCAUUUUUGUUGUAAGAGCAGUUACUUCUUCAUGAAGCCCCAGGGAUUUAAGUUUUUCUAAGUAGAGGAUUUUUUACCUAGCUCUUGUAACUUUACAAAGAAAGCUUUCAUUGAUAGAAGGCAAAUUCAUAUGAGUGACUUGUGUUGCAUAUGUUUGAUCAAGGAAGAAUAGUUUGUGUUACUUUAUUUACUCCUAUCCCUGUAGGAAUUGUUAUAAUAUCAUUAUCUUGAAGACAUACAAUAGUAAUGUUUCACAAAUUCUAAAUUCAUAGGAAUUGGGCUGAAGCAACAAAGGUGAGAUGAGGAAAGGUUCACUGGACAUGAAUAGCUGCGUACUUGGGCCUGUUGACUGAUCAAGCCUUGUGGUUUGAUUUCCUCACCUCUUCAGCAUUGCUGACUCUAUCAGCUUCUGCAUGUGCUGUUGUAUUUGGAUUUACACUCUGUUAACAUCAGUAUGUAGAUGGAAGCCUAGUCAGAAUUUUCCCAGGAUGAUAUGUUUGCCCAUGACUCAGCUCAUGCGGUGUUGGGGUCCCCUCCUUCAAGGUGUCUCAGGUCAGCCAUGCCAGGUCUGAUAGGAGAAUUGCCAUCCUGGAAUCUUCCCUUGCCCUGCAACAGAGCUCCUUCUCCUUGAGCUCUUGCCUUGGAAGUUAUUGCUCUCUGUUUUCUGUGAAAAUCCCAAUUGACAGAAAUGAUGCUUGACAAUGUGGUACAUUUUACAUUCAGUAUUCAAGUUGGAUUCCUGUGUCAGACUGGAUCACCAAAAUACUACUAAUGUUAGUCUCUAACUUAGCCAUUCAUGCAGUGACUUUCUUGACUUUCAUCUUUUUUUAACUUGAUAACAUUUUUUUAAAAAUAUUUAUUUAUUAUUUAUUUGAAAGGCAGCAUUACGGAGAGGGAAGGAGAUACAGAGAUAGAAUGAUCUUCCAUCUGUUGGUUCACUUCCCAAACAGCAGCAAUGACUGGAGUUGGACUAGGCUGAAGCCAGGAACCUUGGAACUCCAUCUGAGCCUCCUAUGUGGGUACAGGUACCCAAGGACUUGGGUCAUCCUCCACAGGUUUCCCAGGCACGUUAACAGGGACCUGGAUUGGAAAUAGAGCUGCUGGGACUCAAACUGGUAGCCACAUGGGAUGCCAGCAUUGCAGGCAACAGUUACCCCACUGUGCCACAGUGUGGCCCCACAAAAUUUCAUUUCAGUUCCUUUUAUUGAAGACAUAUAUAAGUACUAUUAUGUAAAUAGCAUUGUUGUCAUAUUUGUUAGGCUGUGGUUAAAAAGAUUGACUGUUGUGUCUUUAAAUAUUCCAGGUGAUAGGUGAUAAAAGACAAAUAUGUCUGUUAGAGAAUAAGGAAAAAAAAACUUGGAAAUUUUUUACUAGAAUCCAACAAGAAUUUAAUGGUUCUCUGAAUUUUGAACAGUGAUGCCAUGGGAAAUUUAUGCAAGUCAAUCCAAAAUAGAAGUCAGGAGCAUUGUAAUAGAGACUUUAAAGAUGUUAUUUAUGUUCAUCACAACUUUGAAAUUGAGAAAUUGUUAGUAGACUUACCUUUAGAUAUUAGUGUUUAGUACAGUAUUUUUUUUUAAGAUUUAUUUAUUUAUUUGAAAGUCAGAUUUACACAGAGAGAAGGAGAGGCAGAGAGAGAGAGGGGGAGAGAGAGAGAGAGAGAGAGAGAGAGAGAGAGAGAGAGAGAGAGAGAGAGAGAGAGAUAGGUCAGUCUUCCAUCCACUGGUUUAUUCCCCAAAUGGCCUCAAAGGCUGGAGCUACGCUGAUCUGAAGCCAGGAGCCAAGAGCUUCUUCUGGGUUUCCCAUGUGGGUGCAGGGGUCCAAGGACUUGGGCCAUCUUCUACUGCUUUCUCAGGCCAUAGCAGAGAGUUGGAUUGGAAGUGGAGCAGCUGGGACUCGAUCUGGCAUCCAUGUGGGAUGCCAGCACUGCAGGGGCGGCUUUACCUGCUACGCCACAGCGCCAGCCCCAUAGUACAGUAUUUAAAGAAGCAUAUAGUACAAGUUUGGUACAAGUUUGGGGUUUUUUCUAUACUAUUUCAGUGUUAUUGCUCUCUUUUAUAAAUUUGUUUUUUGUGUUAUAAACCUUGUUCUUAGUGGAAUUCUGCAGGCUUCACAAGGUAGUCACAUGGUUCCAUGGAAACAGAUAUUUUACUCUCCAGUGGCUUUCGUGACAUAUGUGCAUGUGAGCUUCCUGGAUGCCUCAGGUCUGGUUCAGGGCUUUGUAUGUGCUUCCUUCUCUUAGGAGCCCCUUCCUAUCUUCAUCUGAGCCUUCUUAAUACCUUGCAUUAUGGUCAGCCAUGUCUGUCUCCCCUACCAGUCUGUGAGCCACUUCAGAGAAGAGACUCUCACAAAUUUACUUAUAAUGAGUACUUAGUAGUUGCUUUUUUAAAAUGCUACUUUUUUUUUUUUUGUCCUCCCCAAAUCCAUCCUUGUAUUCUUCCUCUUGGCAUUGUUUGAUAGCUGGUUCAAGGUUCUUUGGUUGAGAGUUCAUGCUGUAGGGUGCUCAUCAGGUGAGCAAUUGGAUCUUUUUAUUUAUUUAUUUAUUUAUUUAUUUAAUGAGCAUAAAUUUCCAAAGUACAGCUUAUGGAUUACAGUAGCUUCCUCCCCCCACCCCCGUAUCUUCCCUCCCACCCACAACGCUCCCCUCUCCCACUCCCUCUCCCCUUCCCCUUCACAUCACGAUUAAUUUUCAAUUAUCUUUAUAUACAGAAGAUCAAUUUAGCGUAUAUUAAGUAAAGAUUUCCACAUUUGAGCAAUUGGAUCUUACUGUUGGUGCCAUCUCUUGGAGGCGGUGUAGUAUGAUGGGAAGAAUGGGUAUGGUAAUGAAUCCUAAAAAAGACUUGAUGAGGUCGGGUGCUGCCGGUCACUAGGCUAAUCUUCCGCCUGCGGCACCAGCACCCCACAUUCUAGUCCCAGUUGGGGCGCUGGAUCCUGUCCCAGUUGCUCCUCUUCCAGUCCAGCUCUCUGCUGUGGCCCGGGAGGGCAGUGGAGGAUGGCCCAAGUGCUUGGGCCCUGCACCGCAUGGGAGACCAGGAGGAAGCACCUGGCUCCUGGCUUCGGGUCGGCGCAGUGCACCAGCCAUAACAGCCAUUUGGGGGGGUGAACCAACAAAAGGAAGACCUUUCUCUCUCUCCCUCUCUCUCUCUCUCUCUCUCUCACUGUCUAACUCUGCCUGCUUUAAAAAAAAAAAAAAAAGACUUGAUGAGAUUUUUAUUUUGUUUUCUUAAUAAAAUCCCAAACCUGGAAAUAAAA